rnacentral:misc_RNA from 1 species
UUUUCGUACGUCACAUAGCCAGCUGUCAUGUCAUUUUUAUCCGCUCCGUGAUUUCUCGCGAAUGUAGGCGGAGUUCGCAUUAAUUUUUAGUUUUUAUUGUUAAUUAUGCUCUCGUUCCACUUUUCGAAAGUAUUCUUUAUAAUUUAAUUUUCGCAAUUCGUGCAGUGUCGUGCGUAAUCCGAUAAAUAGUGUGGUGAAACAAAGGUGUAGUGGAUAUGAUGUCAUAUUUAUGAUUUGCUAUCCUUGAAAACAUGAGUGUUAGUGUUGAGGAGUCGAGUCCUCUCUCCGAGGGGCAGAGCACGACGCAGGACCAGACUAUAUCGAAGUCCUCUUCAGAGAGCGUGAGCUUGAAUAAGAAUGGGGACGAAGCUGGCGAGUCCAAUCAGAAAGGGGAAAAAUCUGGACCGAGCACUCCGAAGUGCCACCCGAUGGCUUUCACGAUCGACUUCGGAGAUACCAAGCAGGUAGACAAUCGGAGGCUCGAAGAGCUGGCGAAGAAAUCUCAGGCGAGACACCAGAGAGUGCAGUCGAUGUCUGCCAGCCUGACGCGGCCCAGUCCAGCUCCCCUGAAGCCUCCCAUGAGCGCAAAACUCCCACGAAAGGCCCAAGGUUACAACUCCGAAGGGUACUUCUCCUCUGAUCAGGAGGACAGUGGUCUCUCUGGCUCUGUCAAACUAAGAAGCAGUCCCCUAGCCCAAAGUGUUACCAGUCCAAUCUCAACCAGACAUAUCAAAUCGCCUGACGCUCUCCAGCCGAAACGUACGUCCAAAAGUCCUAUAGUCGAUAGCAUUAUGUCUCGAAGUGACAAUUUCUCAAACCGUCAAGGUUUAAAUUUACCUUUAAAAAACAGUGCAAACAGUUCCUAUGUAAUGAGAGACGUCCAUAGAACUCCGAGUUACGGUAGCCUAGCAUACCAGCCACGACCAAUGGAGCAUAUAAUUGAUCAGAGUCCUGAAGGUGUCAUGCUUACAGAUAUUUCUAGUCCGGAAUUAGACAUAUUGACCCCUGAUAAUGGGCUGUCGACCCCAGAACACUCAAAAAGCCCAUUCAGGAAAGGGAGAGCCUCUUCGGAAACCCCUGAUUUAUUAUUCCAAAAAUGUCCACCAAAAGUUGAACCAUUGUAUGUGGAUGAUGAUGUUGACAGACAAUCAAACAACUCGUCCACAGGAACAUAUACAAUUGAGGGGGACAACUAUACAGAGGAACAAAAAGCAAGAAUGAGCAUAGACAGGACGUUUGGGACUGAUUUACUUGAUGGUGCUAUACAGGAGUCUUUGAAAAAGCAUGCGGGUAGUAACGAAAGGGACCCAGAACUGAUUUUUGAUUAUCCAAAUCGGGUCAUAACAAAAGAACCGCGAAGAGACCUCGGUUUAAGAAGUCCUAUAUCCACAAAUGCGCCAUUUGACAUCCCAACGAAGAUUUCGAAAGACAAAAAUGUUUUAGAAAUAUCCUGUUGCUAUGAAUCUCCUACCGAGCAUGACUUGGCUGCUCAAACAUCCAAACAGAUCAAAUCAACUCGUAGUUACUUAGAAAAGAUAAAGAAUAGAGUACGAACAAUUACUGAGAAAACCUUUGCCAAGUCUCCACCGAAACCGGACCUAGAUUUUGGCAACUUCACUUCGGUAACUACAUCUGGAGUCCUAAGCUCUAAAAAACCUUGUCUUAAAAUCGACGUACUUCCCCGUAGAAGAUGUAGUUUAACUAAAUCCGAAAUAGACCAGACAGAUUACAUUCACAGACUGAGUAGAGAGUCAUCGGUUCCUGUAAACUUACCAAGUAAUGCCAUAAUGCCGUUUGAUGAUUCUAAGUUCGAGAGUACAGCUUUGAAAAAUGCUCAGAAAGCGCUGAGGGACGAUAGUGGGGUCUCUUCAGAUAUUACACCAGAGCAAGUGGUUGGUAAACUUUCAUAUCUGAGUUUGAAUCGGUGCAAAGGUGAUAAGACCUGGAUUCAGGACUGGGCUGAGAGCGUAAAGAAGUACAACAAUAACGGUUUGUCAACGUCGGAUCUUAAUGCCACUUUUACUCUUGAAGACCGUCCACCUCUAAGUCCACGACAUACACCUGGAAAACCCCGCAGUCCUCACGGAGGCACUCCGACCAAGAUACCAAGCCCAGUUGGUACACUGCUUAGCAGAAGAACGCCGGAUCUAAUCCCAACCCAAGACACGGAGUCUUACCUGCUCAAAACGCAGAACGCCAUCACGAACCUUCAAGCCAAACUGCAGUCGUCGCGCACCAGUAAUUUCACCACAAUCCCAUCACAACUCACUUCCAGUCUCAUCAGCGAGAAGACAGCGGCGUCGCGACUCCCCGUUUCACAGCUUAGCCGCUCUAACUCACUCAACUAUCGCCUUAGACGGAAAGACGCUAACGACAGCAGUCCCUUGCGAAGUCCAGGGCAUUACGUCAUCACAGGAUCCACAAAAGUCCCUGAAGGAACGAAGAUCCUCCUCAACUCUGCCUCAAGGUCUUUAGACACGGAAAGGCGGAGGGAUUCCCGAGACUCGAACAUGAAUAGUCCGUCUUCUGACAAAGGUUUGUUGAGCAACAGUUCUGAUGAUAAAACACUGUCGAACCGACCGCAGUAUGAUGUAAAUGCUAUACUGUCAUCCCAUAGGAAAACUCACGCGAGGCACAAGUCGUUUGAAGGCAGAAAUGCCAACGAUGUCUUUAAUUUUGAUUGUAGCAACGCAAAUGAGACUGUUUGUUUGAAAACCGUCUUGAAACACAACGCCUUAGAGUCGAAGUACCCGAGAAUUGAUCAAAUGCGUUGCCAGGAUACGAAGACUCACCAACGGGUGUUUAGUGAUGGGAACAAGAUGCUCAAACACACACCUCCUUUCGGGUGUUCCAUCAAGCGAUCUAGUUCAUUCAACACUGUUAAUAAAAACAACAACUAUUUGGAACCUACAAAACUCAUCUCUAGAAGGUCUAGCGGGCAUUCCGAGUAUAAGGAAUACUUAUCAGAUGAAUCCGAAACUGACUACGAUAAAGACCCAAGAUACAAAAGGCCUUUGCAUAGGGGAAGAAUCGAUUCUCCUGACCUAAAAUCGAUCGCGCCGGCAAAUUCUCCUAGAUGCCCAAAUACUCCUGAGUUGCAGAGGAAAUUCGGCCCUGGAUUGGUUAGGAAUUCCGUAAGGGUGACCAAUAAGGAACGAGCAGUUAAUACUAGAAUGUCUGAGCCACCAGUGGGAAGAGAUGAGAGGAAGCCAGUCAAUCAUCAGAGUAGGAAGAUCUCUGAGCCCACAAGACAAGCUGUGUUGAAUAGACUGACCAAGUCUAGGUCUUCGACGAGAGAACUGCAGCCCAAGAACCAGGAAAAAGGUCAAAAACGCCCCAGUCAGCACCGGUCAUCGUCAGCCCUAGCAUCCAAAGAGGCGGAGUACACCAACUGGAAGAAGCGAUCAUCCUACGACCCGAUGAAGGCAGCGCAGGAGGGAAAGAGACGCCAGAUGGCUAAGCGCCAGGAGUGUAACAAGGACGACCUUAGUUCUCCAAGCCACUCCUCGCCAGUGCAUCGCUCUCAAUCAUUCCACACGACGAACAUAGCGGAUUUGACCUUGGACUACUCCUCAGAGGAGACCGAGGAUGACCACACGUUGCCAAUAGACCCCAUGGUCACUUCCACGCACUCCGACAUUCUGGACUUGAGGCCUAAAGAGUAUGAGGCCUUACGACCGAAGGAGAAUUUGAGGCGACAGCCUUUGACCAAUGACGUGGUGCUGGCAAGAGAUUACGUCACGAAUUUCCAGGUGAACCAACCAGACAAACAGAAGAGACAGACGGACAAGCGGAAAACAUUCAUCAUAGACGAUACAACGCCGACCAAGGAGAACAUAGACUUCCUGACCAAGAGAGAGGAGACCAUAGACAAAAGGAAGACCUUUAUUCUAGAUAGCGACACCAAUUCUACCACCAACGGAAGCAGCCCUAGAAAUUCGUCGAUAUUUAGCCACGAGAAGACCUCAUUAACCACAGGCACGAGCGACACGGAGGGCGAGUCCGGGCCGGAGUCUGCGCCCGUCGUGCUGCGGCACCCAGCGGGUAAACGAGCCCCCAACAGCGCCAAGCAGAGGUACAGCGGAGACUACUCGAUGUCAUCAUCCACUACCUCUAUAAGUCAGAAGAAACCCAAAGAGAUCCAGCCACGGUACCUUGACAUAUCCAAGUAUAAGAACGAAGUGUCUCCGCGGGCGUUCCUCAGGAAAGAUCCGAGCAAGACUUAUAUAUCAGCGUUGGGUGACGCUAAGCCAAGCAGACCGAGUGCUCAGCGACUUGAAAUGGAACAAAAGAAGCAAGAGUUAGAGAAGUGGAAGCGACGGGCAUCGUACGACCCGCGCAAGGCGGCGGCGCUAGGCAAGACGGGGAAGCUGCCUGCCAAGACCGCCAGAGCGUGACAGAAGUCAAAUGCAUGCAAUUCUGGCUAAGUGACAUGUGGGCGGCCAUCUUGUUCCGUAAGUGUACUACGCUCGCAGUCGUUCCACGGGCCAAUGUUGGUGUCCACAACACUGCGGUACCAACCGCCGCCGCAACAAAUAGUCGAGAGCUGCGAUGCGUCAAGCGACAACGAUUUCUAAACGAACACGAUGGCUUAU